rnacentral:lncRNA from 1 species
GUGUGUACUAUAGCUACAUGUAUGUAUGCAUGUGUGUGCAUGUACUAUAGCCCUGUGUGUAUGUGUGUGUGUGUGCACUAUAGCCCUGUGUGUAUGUGUGUGCAUGCACUAUAGCCCUGUGUGUAUGUGUGUGUGCACUAUAGCCUUUUGUGUAUGUGUGUGCAUCCACUAUAGCCCUGUGUGUAUGUGUGCGCACUAUAGCCCUGUAUAUGUGUGUGUGUGUGUGUGUACUAUAGCCCUGUGUAUAUGUGUGUGUGCACUAUAGCCUUGUGUGUAUGUGUGUGUGUGCACUAUAGCCCUGAGUGUAUGUGCACUAUAGCCCUGUGUGUAUGUGUGUGUGUGCAUGCACUAUAGCCCUGUGUGUAUGUGUGUGUGUGCACUAUACCUCUGUGUGUAUGUUUGUGUGUGUGUGCAUGUAUUAUAGCCCUGUGUGUAUGUGUGUGUGUGCAUGCACUAUAGCCCUGUGUGUAUGUGUGUGUGUGCACUAUAGCUCUGUGUGUAUGUGUGUGUGGGUGCAUGCACUAUAGCCCUGUGUGUAUGUGUGUGUGUGUGCAUGCACUGUAGCCCUGUGUGUAUGUGUGUGUGUGCAUGCACUAUAGCCCUGUGUGUAUGUGUGUGUGUGCAUGCACUAUAGCCCUGUGUGUAUGUGUGUGUGUGUGCAUGCACUGUAGCCCUGUGUAUAUGUGUGUGUGUGCAUGUACUAUAGCCCUAUGUGUAUGUGUGUGUGUGUGCAUGCACUAUAGCCUUGUGUGUAUGUGUGUAUGUGUGCACUAUAGCCUUGUGUGUAUGUGUGUGCAUGCACUAUAGCCCUGUGUGUAUGUGUGUGUGUGCACUAUAGCUCUGUAUGUUUGUGUGUUUGUGCAUGUACUAUAGCCCUGUGUGUAUGUUUGUGUGUUUGUGCAUGUACUAUAGCCCUGUGUGUAUGUGUGUGUGUGCAUGCACUAUAGCCCUGUGUGUAUGUGCAUUCUGCUUUGCAGGGAACUGUUUGUGUGUGUGCACAUGUAAGCUCACACAGGCACAUCUGAAGCUCAUGGAGGUCAGAGGUCACAACUUCUAGGUCACAACUUCUUUUCUUGCUUCUUCGACCUUGUGUUCUGGGGACCAGUGGAAAGCACUGUUCCCUGAUGAGCCAGCAUACUGGAUCUUGGUUCUGGAGAAAACCCUUGGGGACAUCCCCUGCAA